rnacentral:tRNA from 1 species
AAAAAAUUAGUUAAUAAAUAACAUUAGUUUGUCAAACUAAAAUUAUCUUAAAGAUAUUUUUUA